GCGGGCGUGGCGAAACUGGUAGACGCAAGGGACUUAAAAUCCCUCGGCCUUGGCUGUGCGGGUUCGAUCCCCGCCGCCCGCACCA
rnacentral:tRNA from 33 species